AUUUAAGUAGUUUAAAAAAAAUAUUAAUUUGUGGAAUUAAAGAUGUAUUUAUACCUUAAAUU
rnacentral:tRNA from 1 species